rnacentral:misc_RNA from 1 species
CCCUGCUGCCCAGUUGUGUGUCGUUGUGUUUUGCGGGCUCGUGUCUCCUCGCCACACGUGUGUGCUUGAAUGUGGCGCCUGCACGCACGUACAUGUACAUAGUUUUGUGCGUGUGUGCGCCGCUCCCUUCUUCCCUCCCCCUAAGCAUAUACAUAUACAUAUAUAUAUAUAUAUAUAUUAUUAUUAUUAUUAUUAUGCCUACUAUGAUUUUGUUCCUCGCAUCUGACCCCCUUGCCCGCUGGAGCCGCCUGACCAUCUCCCGUCCCCUCCCGCUCUAUGGGAUAACCCGCUGCUUGUGACGCACCGCGCCUUGUGCCUCGCCGACGAAGUAGCGCCUCGACUCUCUUUUUUUUUCACGGCUUGUGCCGUUUUCGUUGUUGCUUGCGCGUAUGCGGCGGUCUCUCUGCCAGUGAGCGUUGCGUCAAGCUCUCUGUCUGCCUGUCUGGGCGUGUCUGCCUUCUCCUCCAGCGCGGGCUUCUCUUUUCGGAUCGGUUUUGGCGGGCGGGUUGCAGUGCUUCUGCGCUCUCGGUACCCCCUUCCCCCCUUGAGCACUUUUUUUUCCAAAAUGCUCAUCAUUGUGAAUCGCUCACGCACGCACGCUUGCAUCCGCUGUUGCCCGUUCAGGACAUGCGGCCCGCGCCUCGUCAGCUUCCGUGUUUCACUGCUUCCUAGCGUUUCUUUUCCUUGGCGCCCCCCCCCCCGCCUCCCCCACAACCGACUCAACGGUCAGUGAGGACGCGCCAAAAACAGAGAGCACGGCAGUGGCCCACACACACGCACACACAGACGGAGACAGAGGCGAAUGCGAAAAAAACAAGAGAGACAAGCAGCAAGAUGGCAGGCGACACACUCCCUCCCUGUCACACGGAUACGGUGACGGCAUAGGCGUCGGAGGAGGAGGAGGGGUAGGAGGCACAUAAACAGGUGCCCAGGCAGAAACAGGGGAGGGGGGCACCACCAACAACCACAGCAAAGAAAAGAGCGUCCAGCCGUCGUUGCGGAGGAAAUACGUACGAAAACCCACCGACGAAGUGGUUCUCUCAGGUGCCCUCUUGUGCGGGUGUGCGUGCUCGGCAUGCUACGCGUGCUUCGCAGCACAGGAGGCCUCUCCUUGCUUUAUCGCUUCCCUUGCGGUCCAAUCUCAGCGUGGCCUUGGCUGCGCUUCUUCGUGUGCGCUCGCUCGUGUCUGCGUGCUGAAGCCGUCUGGCAUUUUUCCGCUGUGUCUCCCAAUGUGGCGGGGCGCGCCCCGCACUCUCUCUCUCACACACGCUUCACGAAGCGAAUGCGAGUACGAUGCGUGGCGGGUUUCUUGUUUUGGCUUUUGGCAGGCGAGAAAGCAGACUCGGAUAGCGGGCAAGGCGUCAUGCGCACAUGCGGGAGAACGCAUAUCAGUACAUCUGCGCAUACAUACAUAUGGACACACCAAGAACAGGGAAGGCGUGUGGACGGCAUGAGCGCGAAAAGGUGGGGGUGGGGGACGCGAUAAAGAGGCGCAAGGCGUCCCCUCCGGCACACGCCUGCCGCGAAAAUGGGAAGCAAGCGGAAAGCAAGACGCCGCCAUUGUCUGUGCUUUCUGCCUGUAUCCGGCAGAGGCACCCACAAGCGCACGCUCCGUGCAUCGGAGGAGCACGGCACACAGCGGCGGGAAGAGAGUUGCCGUGCUCCCUUCGAUGCGGAGCUGAUGCGUAUUGCUGUGGUGCCGGCGUGCUUCCCCCCUUCGAUGGUGAUUCCUCCCCGCGUGCGCCGAGAAGAUACCGUUUUCUGAAGCAGAGCGCUAAGGAUGAGAGAAUGGGCACAUGCUCGCACGCAAGUCGGUCCCCUCGCCAACUUUUCCCUUUCUGUACUCCCCCCUCCCCCAG